rnacentral:rRNA from 1 species
GGUUGCGAUCAUACCAGCACUAAUGCACCAGAUCCCAUCAGAACUCCGCAGUUAAGCGUGCUUGGGCGAGAGUAGUACUAGGAUGGGUGACCCUCUGGGAAGUCCUCGUGUUACACCCUC